rnacentral:sRNA from 1 species
GGCGAGGCGCGCGCGCGCAAACAGACGGAAGAACACAUGAUGUGUGAGAGAAG